rnacentral:SRP_RNA from 1 species
GUCGGGCGCGGUGGCGCGUGCCUGUAGUCCCAGCUACUCAGGAGGCUGAAGAGGGAGGAUCACUUGAGCCCAGGAGUUCUGGGCUGUAGUGGGCUAUGCCGAUCGGGUGGCUGCACUAAGUUCAGCAUCAAUAUGGUGACCUCCUGGGAGUGGGGGACCCAGGUUGCCUAAGGAGGGGUGAACCGGCCCAGGUCAGAAACAGAGCAGGUCAAAACUCCCGCGCUGAUCAGUAGUGGGAUCAUGCCUGUGAAUAGCCACUGCACCCCAGCCUGGGCAACAUAGCGAGACCU